UAAUCUAACCUUAUUUUACUCAGUCAAAGGAAUAAUGCAAUUCUAUUUCCUUUCUUAACUAGUGUCAAAAAAAUCCAACUUGUUUUGCCCCAAAUCAAUGUAACAACCACCAAAAUUGCCAAAAUUCUGAAAAACACCAGGGAAACUCAAAUCUUCAAAAUCUCAUUUUCAUCCUUAGAGGCAAAACAAAACUCGAAACCCUAGAAUCG
rnacentral:misc_RNA from 1 species